UUUAUCCUACGGGAGGCAGCAGUGAGGAAUAUUGGUCAAUGGACGCAAGUCUGAACCAGCCAUGCCGCGUGCAGGAAGAAGGUGCUAUGCAUUGUAAACCUCUUUUGCCGGGGAGCAACGGGGUCCUUGCGAGGUCCCAAUGAGAGUACCCGGAGAAAAAGCAUCGGCUAACUCCGUGCCAGCAGCCGCGGUAAUACGGAGGAUGCGAGCGUUAUCCGGAUUUAUUGGGUUUAAAGGGUGCGUAGGCGGGCUGUUAAGUCAGCGGUCAAAUGUCGGGGCUCAACCCCGGCCUGCCGUUGAAACUG
rnacentral:rRNA from 1 species